rnacentral:misc_RNA from 1 species
AUUAAAAAAAAUUGACAGAUUUUUCUUUUUCCUCUUAAUUAAUUUAUAGCCAUUAUUAUCUGAUAAGCAUUUUUCUUCUUCCUCUUCUUCCGCAUUACACAUUUAUGAGGAUAACCCAAAAUUAUUCAAAAUGGAGAAAGAGAAUCUGCUUAGUUGAGUUGAAUUGUAUUAUCCGGUAAGCAUUAACCUAAUAUUAAUGAUGAAAAGUUAAAGAAAAU